UCAUGGAAGAGUAAGACGUCAAACAAUACAUGAUGAGUUUUCAUUUAAAACUUGGCUGCCACACUUAAAUAAUAAAUCCCAUAAAAGGAAGUGCAAUAAAUAAUUUUUAAAAUAGAUAUUAAAACCAGUUAUUUAAUCGUCAUAAAGUUUGUGUUCUUUAAUGUAAGAAACAAUUAUGUUCAAUUGAAAAUAUCUCCCUGUUCCAGUGUGAUCCAAAUGCUGUUUGUCAGUGUGCCAGUCCAGCCCUUCUCUUCUCAGACGUGGGGACAGGGGAGAGGCUGGCGUGGAGUGGUGUCUGAUGAGACUCGUCACAAUGAACAGACCUUGUUAAUAUCAUCCAGCUUCAGGAGGAUACGUUCAGCUUCAGUAGAGAUAACUUUGGACCAAGCUCUAUAAAGUGUUUCUGAGAUCUAUGUGCCCCCUUCCAGGCUUUCAUUAAUUGCAGACCAACAUCUUUGGCCAAACCUUUAAGAUUUUCUAUAUCGUUACAUAUUCAAAGCAAUGAGAAAAUUUCCCUUUCUAAAUAUAUGUCUCAAAACCUGGAACUCCUAAGAAUCAUGAACAGAAUUUGGGGUUCUUAAUCCUUUUAUGCUAUGAAAUGAUUUUCUAC
rnacentral:lncRNA from 1 species